rnacentral:rRNA from 1 species
UACGAAGGGGGCUAGCGUUGUUCGGAAUUACUGGGCGUAAAGCGCACGUAGGCGGACUAUUAAGUCAGGGGUGAAAUCCUGGAGCUCAACUCCAGAACUGCCUUUGAUACUGGGGAUCUCGAGUCCGGAAGAGGUGAGUGGAACUCCGAGUGUAGAGGUGAAAUUCGUAGAUAUUCGGAAGAACACCAGUGGCGAAGGCGGCUCACUGGUCCGGUACUGACGCUGAGGUGCGAAAGCGUGGGGAGCAAACAGG